GUUUGUUUCGUUUUCUCAAAUUUAUCUCUUGCUCUUUGAAACAAAAUGGUAAGCUUCAUGAUGUACGUCAUUAUGUGUUCAUGUUUUUUAAGAUAUUUGUCUAACCUUCCUAUUUGUCAGUAUAAACGUGGAGGUCACAUGCAUGGUGUAGUUUCACAAAGAAGAGCAGCGCCUUCCCCUUCCUCGUCCUCAUCCCCGUCCCUUUCCUCUUCUCCUGCCAUUUCAUGUUUCCCUCAACCACUACAUGCUGAUGGACAACAUGGACACAUUGGCCCUUCCUCCGACCCCCAAGAACAUAUUAGGGGGCAAAUUGGAAACAUGCGAAUUGAAUCUACUUCAGUUCCAUGUCCUUCGGUUCCACCUUCUUCUUCAGUGCAACACUCGAAUGAUGAGGGAAACACAAGUGAAGAAGAUAGUCGAUUCAUGAUAUGCCUAUUUGGAGAUUCAGAAGUACUUCAUUUUUUUUAAUUAUGUGUUAUUUAGGUUUUUAGAUUUUAGUCAACUGAAUUGUCCAUGUUGCAAAUUAUUCGUAUGCUUCAUUGUUUCAUUGUCCAUAUCAUUCUUUCUAACCUGUUUGCAGAUUCAUGGAUGUUACGUAUGUUGUGAGGCAACUUAAUAAAAUAGUCAAUAACUCUUGGAGGGUGCAGUAUAUUAGUUAUAGCAGCGCUCCGAAAGAAGUAAAGGGUUUGUGGUGGAAUAAGUUCAAGCGGAAGUUCAGGUGGGAUGAAAUGGAAGAGGAUGAAGUUAAAAGAAUUUUUAAGAAGAAAGCUGGUGAUCAUAUACGAAAUGUGAUGAAUAAAGCAAAGAUAAGUCAAGUAAAGCCAGAUUUUAUUAUGGGUAACAAUUGGACCGAAAUUAAGAGAACUUGGGAAACUAAAAAGAAUAAGCAAAUGAGUGAACAGAAUAAGAAUAAUCGAGCUUCUAGUUCUAGUGAAGGGUCUGCCACAUGCUGGGGGUUUUAUCAACAUCGGGGAGCAUAGAAAAAGAAUGGUAAGUCUGUUGAACAUGUUGUAAGUUAAUUUAAUUCAAUUACUCAUUUAUGUUUAUAUUUUGUAGGCAGAUGAAUUGGGGACGGAACCGACAUAUAUAGCUACAUUUGAACGCACAUUUCAAAAAAAAAGAUAAGACAUGGACUGGCGAUCGAGCAAAAGCUAUUAAGGAAAAAUAUGAUGAACUUUUAAUGAGCAGUGGUAGUGGUAGUGGUAGUGGUGGUGAUGGUGUUGCUGCGUUUGAGCCAUCAGUUGACAGUAUGGCAUUAUGGGCGGAGGCAUCGGGUGGGAUGAAAAAAGGAAAAAUAUUUGGGCCAUCCUUGUCAAGGGUAUACACAACGCAGGCUGCUGCAACUUCAUCCUCUAAUGCGGCUGUUUCAAGGAAGACACGACUUGAGGAGCAAAUGACCCAAGAAUUGAGCCAACUGAAACAUUUACUUGUAGAGAAGGACGAAGAAAUAAGAGUGGUCAAAUAACAAAUGCAAUUGAUCUUGCGACAUCUCAACCUCGAUCAUGAUGAGGUUCCUUCUAUAUCUCCGACUAAUCUAAUAGGUGAUGGGCACAAUGAUGAGCGACAUGAUGAUGAUGACAUUGCUGAUGAUGAUGAUGAUUUUCUCGAUCCUUAGUCCUUGCUAGUUAAAUUUUCCAUUUUUAAGCACUAAAUUUUGAGCACUAUGUAUUUCAUCAUCAUAUCAUUAUGUAUUUAAGCACUAAAUUUUGAUGUUAUUAAGUGCUUAAUCAUUAUUAAAUAUAAAUUCUAGAAAUUAAUUUUGCUUUUAA